GUAUUUAUAGUUUAAAAAACAUUAAUUUUGUAAAUUGAAAUUGCCUAUAAAAGCUGAGUACA
rnacentral:tRNA from 1 species